UACAGAGGGUGCAAGCGUUGUUCGGAAUUAUUGGGCGUAAAGGGCGCGUAGGCGGUGCUGUAAGUCUGUGGUGAAAUCUCUGGGCUCAACUCAGAGUCUGCCAUAGAAACUGCAGUGCUGGAGUGUGGCAGAGGGGGGUGGAAUUCCGCGUGUAGCAGUGAAAUGCGUAGAGAUGCGGAGGAACACCGAUGGCGAAGGCAGCCCCCUGGGCUGACACUGACGCUCAGGCACGAAAGCGUGGGGAGCAAACAGG
rnacentral:rRNA from 1 species